rnacentral:rRNA from 1 species
GACGAACGCUGGCGGCGUGCCUAAUACAUGCAAGUCGAACGCAGUGGGGCCGGGUGAGUAACACGUGGGUAACAUCCCAUCAGAGGGGAUAACACUUGGAAAAAGGUGCUAAACCGAUACUGGUGGAUGGACCCGCGGUGCAGUAGCUAGUUGGUGAGGUAACGGCUCACCAAGGCCACGAUGCAUAGCCGACCUGAGAGGUGUAUCAUCCCCCCUGGGACUGAGACACGGCCCAGACUCCACCUAUAACCACCAAUACAAAAUCUUCCGAAAUGAACGAAAGUCUGACCGAGCAAUGCCGCGUGAAUGAAGAAUUUGUUAGGAUCCUAACACUCUGUUGUUAGGGAAGCGGUAUCUAACCAGAAAGCCACGGCUAACUACGUGCCAGCAGCCGCGGUAAUUC